rnacentral:rRNA from 1 species
ACUCUAAGGAGACUGACCGGUGGACAAACCGGAGGGAAGGUGGGGGAUGAACGUCAAGUCAUCACUGGCCCUUACGGCCUGGGCUACACACGUGCUACAAUGGUCGGUACAAAAGGGGUUGCCAAGCCGCGAGGUGGAGCUAAUCCCAUAAAACCGAUCGUAGUCCGGAUCGCAGUCUGCAACUCGACUGCGUGAAGUCGGAAUCGCUAGUAAUCGUGAAUCAGAAUGUCACGGUGAAUACGUUCCCGGGCCUU